rnacentral:rRNA from 1 species
GACGAACGCUGGCGGCGUGCUUAACACAUGCAAGUCGAACGGAAAGGCCCUGAUUUUGUGGGGUGCUCGAGUGGCGAACGGGUGAGUAACACGUGAGUAACAUGCCCCUGACUUUGGGAUAACUUCAGGAAACUGGGGCUAAUACAGGAUAGGAGCUCCUGCUGCACGGUGGGGGUUGGAAAGAUCCGGCGGUUGGGGAUGGACUGGCGGCUUAUCAGCUUGUUGGUGGGGUAGUGGCUUACCAAGGCUUUGACGGGUAGCCGGCCUGGGAGGUGGACCGGGCACAAGGGGACUGAGAGACGGAGCAGACGCGUACGGGAGGCAGCGGGGGGGAAUAUGGCACAACGGGCGGAAGCCAGAGGCGGCGACGCCGCGAUCGGGAUGACGGCCUUCGGGGGGUAAACCGCUGUCGCCGGUGACGAAGCGUUAGUGACGGUAAUGGGUAAAGAAGCACCGGCUAACUACGUG